rnacentral:rRNA from 1 species
AUGCCUUUCGAUUUCCCAUGGCUCAACAAAGCCGCCUCCACCUCGACCCCAAACCCUAGCCUGAGCAAGCCCAACAAUCCAAACCCCUUCCUCCCCAUCCAGACCCACCUCACCUCCUUCGUCUCCUCCCUCCCCCUCCCACGGGCCAUUGCGCCGCCAUGGGCUCGCAUCCCCUCCCCAUCUUCGUCGGCGGCGCUGCCAGUCGCAGAGAUCGAGGGCCGGCUCGCCGGGGUGCCCGUGUACGCUCUCGCUAACUCCGCCCAGGAAUUCAUGCUUGUGUCGAAAACCCACGGGGGCGGGGAUGUGGGCGGAAGCGCGAGGCGUCCACCAGCGCUCGGGAUGCUCUGCUUCCGGAGGGAGGACGCCGAUAUGCUCCUCGCACAAAUGGACGACGAUAUGCGCGCUGGCUCCACCGUGGUACCUGUUGCGCUCAACAAGGUUAUCCAACUGAAGUCUGAUGGUGUGGCAUUUAGAUUUCUUCCUGAUCCUUCUCAGGUGGCUAAUGCAAUUAAGUUGAUGCAAGAUGGAGGGGAAUUUAUGAAUGAGGGGUUUCCAGGAGUUCCUGUUUUCCAGUCAAGGAGCCUUGUUCUAAGGAAUGAUAACAAGAGAUAUCGGCCAGUUUUCUUUAGAAAGGAGGACUUAGACAAGUCACUGCACCGAGCAUCUAGUGACCAGCAAAAGCCUAUCCCUGCUGUUAGGAUUGGUGACACACAGGUUUCUUCUUUGGAGGAUAUCAUCACAUCAAUGAAGGAUAGCUCCUCCUCGAAAUGGGAUGAUGCCGUUUUUAUUCCUCCAGGUUUCGACAUAGCUAUUGGCUCAGAGCCAUCACACCUCAACAAGUAG